UAACAAUAGUAAUCCCUGGAGAAGGGGAACAAAGGAUCCUUUGUCUCCUUUGUUCCCCUUCUCCAGGGAUUACUAUCAUUAUUC
rnacentral:pre_miRNA from 1 species